GACAGAGGAUGCAAGCGUUAUCCGGAAUGAUUGGGCGUAAAGCGUCUGUAGGUGGCUUUUCAAGUCCGCCGUCAAAUCCCAGGGCUCAACCCUGGACAGGCGGUGGAAACUACCAAGCUGGAGUACGGUAGGGGCAGAGGGAAUUUCCGGUGGAGCGGUGAAAUGCAUUGAGAUAGGAAAGAACGCCCGUGGCGAAAGCGAGGUCCUGGACGCCUACUGACGCUGAGACGCGAAAGCCAGGGGAGCGAACGGG
rnacentral:rRNA from 1 species